rnacentral:rRNA from 1 species
GGACGAACGCUGGCGGCGUGCCUAACACAUGUUAGUCGAGCGGGGAACAUUGGGAAGCUUGCUUUCUGGUGUUUCUAGCGGCGGACGGGUGAGUAACGCGUGAUUAAUCUGUCUCAAACAGGGGGAUAACGCAGCGAAAGUUGCACUAAUACCGCAUGAGACCACAGUGCCGCAUGGUACAGGGGUCAAAGGAGCAAUCCGGUUUGAGGUGAGCUCGCGUCCCAUUAGGUAGUUGGUGAGGUAACGGCCCACCAAGCCUGCGAUGGGUAGCCGACCUGAGAGGGUGAUCGGCCACACUGGAACUGAGACACGGUCCAGACUCCUACGGGAGGCAGCAGUGGGGAAUAUUGGGCAAGGGGGGAAACCCUGACCCAGCAACGCCUCGUGAGGGAAGAAGGUUCUCGGAUUGUAAACCUCUGUCCUAAGAGAAGAGGGGAAGACGGUAUCUUAGGAGGAAGCCCCGGCUAACUACGUGCCAGCAGCCGCGGUAAUACGUAGGGGGCGAGCGUUGUCCGGAAUGAUUGGGCGUAAAGGGCGUGUAGGCGGUCAGGUAAGUCUGGAGUGAAAGUCCUGUUUUCAAGAUGGGAAUUGCUUUGGAAUACUGCGUGACUGGAGUGCGGAGAGGGUAUCGGGAAUUCCCGGUGUAGCGGUGAAAUGCGUUGAGAUCGGGAGGAACACCAGGGGCGAAGGCGGGUAACUGGAUUGCAACUGACGCUGAGGCGCGGAAAGUGUGGGGAGCAAACAGGAUUAGGUACCUUGGUAGUCCACACUGUAAACGAUGAAUGCUAGGUGUAGGGGGUAUCGACCCCUUCUGUGCCGCAGUAAACACAAUAAGCAUUCCGCCUGGGGAGUACGGCCGCAAGGUUGAAACUCAAAGGAAUUGACGGGGGCCCGCACAAGCAGCGGAGCAUGUGGUUUAAUUCGACGCAACGCGAAGAACCUUACCAGGUCUUGACAUCCAGUAAAACUUGUAGAGAUACAUCGUGUCUUCGGACAUACUGAGACAGGUGGUGCAUGGUUGUCGUCAGCUCGUGUCGUGAGAUGUUGGGUUAAGUCCCGCAACGAGCGCAACCCUUGCUGAUAGUUACUAACGUGUAAUGACGAGGACUCUAUUAGGACUGCCGGGGACAACUCGGAGGGAGGUGGGGACGACGUCAAAUCAUCAUGCCCCUUAUGACCUGGGCUACACACGUGCUACAAUGGCCGCUACAAAGAGGUGCAAAACCGCAAAAGGAGCAGAUCUCAAAAAAACGGUCUCAGUUCGGAUUGUGGGCUGCAACCCGCCCACAUGAAGUCGGAGUAAAAGUAAUCGCGGAUCAGCAUGCCGCGGUGAAUA